rnacentral:lncRNA from 1 species
UGCCAUGCCAUGCCAUGCCAUGCCAUGCCAUGCCAUGCCAUGCCAUGCCAUGCCAUGCCAUGCCAUGCCAUGCCAUGCCAUCCCAUCCCAUCCCAUGCCAUGCCAUGCCAUCCCCUGGGGCCAUGCCCAUGGACAGGAUGGAAUAGGGGCCGGGCAGACACCCCACAGCCGUGCUCCAUGCCCUGGGGCGGCGCGGGGCUGUCCCUGCCUGGGCAGCGCAGGGCUGGGCUGUGUUCUCCGGCCUCUCCCGCAGCCCCUCAGCUCGGGCUGCGCUCGCUCUUUGCCAGGUGCAGCCGUGCAGCGCACACGAGAGCAGGAACGCACCCGUGGCCGCUUCCGCAGAACAGCGCAGAUGGUUUGCAAAUUCAUGAAGAGGAUUCGGGAGGAAGAGAGCAGCGUCGUGGGCACUGUGGUCAGAGCGUACUCUCCCAUCUUCAAAACCAAGACCAGUGCUGCCCUGCUGGAUAUGCUUGUGGAGGAGGGUCCUUCCAGCCCAAAGCAAGUGAGCAGCCUGUGGCCUGGCUUUUCUCCUCCCAGCAGUUGCGUGGCCUCCCAAGCCACGCCUGCUGCUCCCUGGAAGCCUUUGAGGCCAUGGCAGUGUGGUGGCAAGGGAAGCACUUCUCUGGGGCAGCUGGGCACAUUCCUUCCUCUGGCAGCUUUCCAAGUCUCCCCUGCCUUCUCCAGGUGCCGGCCAUGGUGAGGUACAUCCACCAGUGGCUGGUGGCCAAUGAGUUUCCUGAGUACAAUCUGUACAGGCCCCUCCUGGAUCUGACAGAGGCACAGCCCUCUGACGUGGUGAUGGCUCUCCUGCGUGUGGCCCCAGUGUGUGACAGGUACGGGGCCCACGUGUCCACAAGGCUCAGCAGCCCUUCACCCUGUACAGCCUGUCCCAGGUGUCUGACCAACAGAGAAUUCCAGGGCCCUCUGGCUGCUCCCUUUGCCAGCCCUGGCCCCUGCCAGCCCCCCAGCGUGCUGCCAUGCUUCCCCCCUGCCCCUC